GUCAUGUUUUAUUGUUAUUGACUUGUAGUUCUUAAAAUAUAUUUUGAAUAAUAACCCUUUAUCAGAUAGAUGACUUAGAAAUAUUUUCUCCCAUUGUGUGGGCUGCCUUUUCAGUCUGUUGAUUGCGUCCUUUGAUGCCCAGGAGUGUUUAGUCCUCAUGUAGUCCAGUGUAUCUAUUUUUUUACCUUCGUUACCUGUGCUUUUGGUGCCAUGUCCGAGAAGGCAUUGCCAAGUCCAGUGUCAUGAAGUAUUUAUUGCUACUAUUAAAAGUGCUGUGGUAGUCUUAAUCCAUGUUUUUGAACUUACUGAUUAGUCCAUUUUACCAUUUGGUUUACCAUCUGCCCUUUACCUCUUUGCCCGCUUACUGUAUGAAAUUCCUCACUGAGUUCUAUAAUGGUCGUAAAUUCUUUGUUCCGUUCAGAAGGUAAGUGUGUUUGCCACUUAGGAGUGUCAGACGUACUCCUUUUUUCCCCCUUUUGUUGUUGGUACAAAAAGUAUCUAUCACACAAGGACUUUUAAAACAUCCAUCUACCAAGUCUAAUAAUAAUUAAUAAGUCUGUUCAUUUUGCUUCUGAUUACGUUUUCUUUAGUAGCUAAAUGUCUGUGUACUCUUAGAGUUUCCUGAGUACUCUUCACCGUUUAAGGAGUUAUGAAUCCAAUUUAGGGGUGAAUCUAAAUUGAUGAGUUAUACUCAUAAAGUGGAAAUGUCAAACUUUUACUGAAUGAAUUCUACUUUGCUCUGCUCCAGGUCAGUAUUAGUGUCUUUCAAUUAAUUAUCUGCCUGAAUCUGUUUCUGGAAUUUUUAGCCGCUAGUUUCUGUUGUUUCUAGUCAAAUACAGCAAAUUUUAAAGACCAUCGCUGUUACUAUGUUUGAAAACCUAGUGUGUGGAGGCUAUGCUGCUCCUUUUAAGGCAAGAGUAUUCUCUCCUUGUUGGGACUUGAGUACACAGAACUGGGUUAAUCUUUGGUUUGUGACAUGACCUGGCUCUCUUUUAUUUGCUUCCUUGGUGUUUUUAAUAAUGUGGUAAGCAUUUCUGAGACUUGUGUUCAGUGUAAAACCUAGGACGUUAGUAGCUUUUUCUACCUGGGUGGUCAUCUUCUCCCCCUGCCCCCAUCUCUAGGCCAACGUAAUCGCCAUCCCGAAUACUGGAUUUAUCUUUACUUGCUUUCUUUUCAUAUAACUUAAAAAAAAAAAAAAAAUCCACCUAAGUGUGUUUGUUAAGGAAGCUCCAGGCAUUCACAGCCCCUCCAGGACAGCACAGCACAGCAGCUGUGCCAUAUGGGAUUCUUCAUCUUGUCAGGUGGGUUGAGAGUUUCUGCUGCCAAAGUAGAGUAACGUGCUGUGGAAUUGAGUUAAAACUGAUCGGUCUCUACAACUGCUUGUCGGUACCAGAAGUGAGCAUCAGAUAGUGUCUGACUUAUUUAGACCUAGCAAGACUCUGAGUCUCCUUCUGGCGUUCUUUCUCCUACGCAGGCUGAAAAACAAACUAUUCUAGGACAGCAGUUGUGACAUCCGCCGAAAGUGGCUUUUAAUUAUAUCUUAUGUGUUUGGUCUUGUUGAAAUCUUCUUACCUGGCAUCUGUCUGUCAGCAUCUCUAAUCCCAAGUGGAAAAGGCGUGCAUCCGGGUGGGACACAGUCUGCUCCCUCUGCUGCCUGUGGUUUCCCCUUUAAGUACGCGCUUCCCCUCAGAGGCCCCCCGAGGGCCAGGAGCACAGGUGUGAGCCCUGCUCUGUCUCUUACUCGACUAAUAGGGUCAUGGAGAGCUUCACGCUGGGAACCACAAGGCCCAGAUCUAUCCCCGGCAGCCUUAUUCUUGCCCCCUUCGCUUCUGGGGUAAGUGGUAGCUGUCCCCUUGACUCCUCUGUCGAUGUAACAGCUGUGGGACCAGCUGUCUGUGUGUCAGAGCGAGGCCCUGCCUCUGCCUCCUGCUGACCCCAAGGGCAGAAGCUCUGCCGGUUUUCUUCCAGUUUGUUUCAAGAUAUAAAAAAUGUUCAGAGUGAUAUGUGCACAUAUAAAAAACUCAAACCCUGUAAAGGGGAUGUAGUGACAUCCUUCUCUAACCCCAGCCUCCCUUCCCACAGAGGCAGCAGUUGUGGCCAGUUGCUUGAAUUUCUUUCUGGAUAAUCCUGUGUACCUAUUUCACUACAGAGGCCCCGGCACACCACAUCCAGUCUCGCACUUUGGACUGUUCAGUUAAUGGUACAUCUAGGAGCUCACCGCUUAUCUUUUUUGGCCUACCUUGGGCUUUUCGAAACACAUCUGUGUGGUAGUCACUGUUUAAAUUUACCCAUUUUCCCUUGUGAGGAGCAAUUAGAUUGUUUCUAGCAAUUUUUACGGUGUAUAAGGCUAUACUGAGUAUCUGCCUAUGUGGUUGUUUGUGUAUAUGGGCAACUGUGCCUUUGGGGGAAGGUUUCUGGGUCAUGGUCUGUGUGUCUUUCUGAACAUGAUGGGUACUGCCAGCCCAUGCUCGCUGUAGUUCCGUUCGUCCGCUUGACAUUUUCCCACACUUCACCAACACUGUUCUUAAACUUGGUUACUUGUCAAUGUGAGAAGUAAAAAUAGCAUUUCAUUGUAGUUUUGAGUUCUAUUUCUAUUGGGCUGUGUACUUACAGAUUUUCAAGAGCUUUUUAUAUAUCGAAGAAAUUAACCCUUUGUCACUGAUGCGGCAAAUACUUGCCUGUUUGUCAUUGAUCUGGCUUUUGUGUUUCAUGCUAGAAUGUUGCUGUUCAGAGUUUUAAAUAUACUUAUGUAUCACUGUUUUCUUUUAGGGCUUCUGGGUUUUAUGACUCAGGUUGUGAAGUGCCCCCCCAGCCCCUGCCCCAUUCCAGACGCAGUGGUUCCCUGCAGCCCGGCCUUGGCCGUUUGGGGUUUUAUCUUUGCUGAGUAGAAGGUAAACUCCAGUGUUGCCGUGGUUCAGUUUCCACUUUGUGAUUCUGUAAAGCUGAGUGAACACUUUGUUGGCCGACGUGUGUGACUGCUUGUGCCUCAGUUAUGUUUUCAUCUCCUGAGAACUCUUCACUGGAGGACGUUUACCCUCGAAUGAUUACAAAACAUUGUUUAAGUUUGUAGUUUGCCCUUUUUUUCUUUUUUUUUUAAGUUGAUGCGCGAUGCUGCCGCGUUGCUUUCAAGUUGUAAUUUGCCUUUUAAAUUUACUUGUUGCAUCUUGCCAGUGGUUUUAAGUUUUGUUGUCAAGUCUGUUAUUUUGAUCGUGGUUUCAUACUUUGAUGUUCUGCUGUAUUUCCCACUGGCUUCCUUGUGCUUUCAUUUUUGACAUUUGACAUAACUCUUUAAUCUGUCUAGGAGUCGUGUUGGUGUUUGUACAGUGUGAGGUAAGAAUCCAAUUAAUUCAAGAUGGCUGAUUUCCCCAGCGCCGCUUCCUGGAUGAUGCCUUCUCUACUGAUCUGAAACUUGUUAGUUAUGUACUAAGUACCUUUAAUGUAAUUGAGUAUGUUUCUGAACUUUCUAGUUUGUUCCGCCGAUCUAUCUUUCCUCCGCCAGUCCAGUGUUUUCAUUAUAUUAGCUUUAUCACAUCUGAUUGUAAAACGUGGUAAUACAAGCCCCUGGCAUUCUUUUUUAAGGUACUCUGAUUUUUACUGGAAUUGCAUUAUGUUUAUCGAUAUGUUAUGACGUUGAGACUUUCCAUGUAGGAACAGGCCCCCCCUGUUCGUUUAGGAUUGGAUGAUUUUCGUGUCCUCAGAAAUUUUAGCCCUCUCUUAGGCAAGUUAUGGACAUUUAUGAAGUUCGCUCCUAGAUAUGUUAUAUUCUGUGUUGUGGUUAGAUAUAUUUUUCCAUUAAAAUUCCUGGUUGUGGUAGUAUAUGAGAAGACUUGUUUUAUAGGUAUACGUUAUUUCGGACAUAAAUAGGCUGAUUAUUAAGGCCAAUUGGAAGACAAUAUAGCAUCCAGGCUAAAAGGGCUUUUGAGUCAGAUGACUCUGCUCUCAUGCUUGACUUGCCCCUUAUUUAUUUUCUGUGCUGCGAGCUCUCUGCCUCAGUUUCUCCAUUUGUAAGAAGGGAUAAUCAUAUUAUCUACUAAGAAGUGGGAUGAGGGUUUAAUGAAAUAAAGAGGCAUUGUGCUCAGUGCUCUGCUGACACGGAGUGAGCACUGUUCUACUGGAGUUUCAGAGUAAGAGUCAUCUUUAAUGGUUCUGUCAUCCAUGUGAUUCAUUCCGUUUUUCAUGCUUCUCUCCUGUCUUGCUGGCAUUGGCUGUAAUCACUAAUGAGCUGUGAGCAUCGUGGUCUUGUUCCCACCCAAUCCGCUGGGAUCUGUCAGUGGGAUCUGUCAGUGGAUAGAGAGGGGUCAGGCUGGCCCUGGCAGGUGUGCACAAGCCCCAGCAGCACACAUCAGGCUGCCCAUUGGUUGUCAUCCUGAUGGUCCUCAGCUGGAGUGAUCUGCUGACAGACCUCUUCAAAUUUUAAUAUUCACGUAUUUGUUUUAUCAUGUAUUUGAAAGUUGCUGGUUUUCUAUUUAUGGUGGUAAUACAACAUUUCCUUUAAGAGGAAUAUAUUUUUUCUCUUUUUAGUUGAAAUGUCCCCCCACAUACUAUAAGAUUCAUGCUGUCAACGUGUACAAUUCAGUGGGUUUUAGUAUGUUCACCGUGUUUUGCCAACCAUCACUGUCAUCCCAUUUCCAGGACUUUUUCAUUUUCCCAAACAGAAGCCUGAUCCCCAUAAAACAGUAACUUCCCAUCCCUCUCUCCCUCCCUCCUCCCGGUUCCCCCCACCCCGCUUUUUUUCCUGCAUUUUCAUUAUUGUAACUGAUCAAAGUCUGUUUGCAGUAGAUGUGAAUGUGAGUUAAGUACAUGUGACAUUGAUUUGGCAGAGGCAACCUAGUGAUUGGCAAGAACACAGCACGAGCAGCUUCUGCAGGUUGGUGUUCCUCCUCCUGGUUCCUGAUAACCUUUACUAUACUUUCUGUCUAUUUGCCUAUUCUAGGUUCCUCCUACGAAGGAAAUCAUACAUUUGUCCUUUUGUGUCUGUCCUACUUCAGUUAGCACAGUGUUUGCAAGUUUCAUUCACGUUGCAGCAUGUAACAAUACUUGAUUCCUUUGUGAGGCCGAAUACCCCUUGGUGUGGCUACACCACGUUUUGUUUAUCCAGUCAUUUGUUGGACAUUUGGGUUGUUUCCACUCAUUUGGCUAUCAUGAAUAAUACCUCUAUGCACUUUUUAUUGAAUUUGUUUUAAAUUGUCAUUGGUGUGUGCCUCAGAGUGGAAGUGCUGGGUCAGAUAACUCUGUGCUUAACUUUUUGAGGAUCCGCAGAACUGUCUCCCAGUGUAGCUGCACCAUUUUACAUUCUCGCCAUUAAUUGAUGAGGUUUCUGAUUUCUCCACACCCUCAACCCUUGUUCUUAUUUGGCUGUGUGUGUGCGUGUGUGUGUGUGUGUGUGUGUGUGUGUGUGUGGGGUUUUUAUAUAAGCUCUAUGCCCAGUGUAGGAUUUGAACUCCCAACCCGGGGUCGCAUGCUCAUCCACCCAAGCCAGCCAGGCACCCCUCUGGCUUUUUGAUCAUAGCCAUCCUAAUGGGUGUGACGUGGUAUCUCCUGUGAUUUUGAUUUGCACUUCUCUCAUGACUAACUGUGUCUAGCACCUUUCCAUAUGCUUGUUGGCCAUGUGUAGAUCUUCUCUAGAGAACUGUCUAUACUGAUCUUUUGUCCCCUUUUUAAUUGAGUGUUUAUCUUUUCAUUAUUGAAUUUUAAGAGUUCUUUGUGUAUUCUGGAUACUAGAGACUUAUCACGUUUUUCCCUUCUGGGGGUCGUGUUUCCACUUUGUUGAUAGUGUUCUUUGACAUAAAAUAAAUUUAUAUGUCGAAAGUAACUUGAUUUAAGGGAAAAAAAAAAACUGGGACUGGUUAUAUGGCAAAAAAUGUCCAGGUGUCAUGUGAAUGGUUAAGGUUUGGGGGCAGAGAAGAGUGUUCCGAUCCUGUAGCGUGAAGUGGGUGAGCACUCCUUCCUGUGCAACGUCAGCAGGUUCUACCUGGUAUGUGUGCCGGGGUCAUCUCGUUGGAGUGCUUGGAAGGUUUGGUUUUGUUUUUUAUGUCCAGUAAUAGAUAAUGGAUUUAUUCAGAUGUCUUUUCUGCAUUUCCCCCCCCCCCCGCGGGGGGGCCCCCCAAGCAUCGAGUUUUUCUCCUUUCAUUUUCUCAUGAUUAAUUGCAUCACAGAAUAUCAUGGCCUCCUGUGAUUUCUGAAACACACCGAUCCCAGGCCUGGAGCUCUAUUCCGCCAACACAGAAAUGAAUCAGAAGGUCCACUUCAGCUUCAGGGAGUUGUCAGGCAGGCUCUCGUAUCAGGACCUCAGGAAAGGCAGAGACGCUUUUAAGAGCAGCAGCAAAGAGCAGACCUCUGAGCUGGACAACUGACUUUCUGUUCCCUGCUUUGCCACUUAGCACGUGACGUUGGCCACAUUUCUAAAAUCCUUGAAGCCGGUUUCCUUAAUAAAAUGGGGACAAAAAUAAAGUCAGAACAUAACUCGUGGUUUGCGUGAGGCUGAGAUGAGAGGUCACACGGCACAGGUGCUGGGAGUGAGGGGCCCUGCUGUUUCCGGUCCCUGUCAGCCUCCCCACUUGGCACAGUUGACUGGACACAGAGUGUUGGGUAACGCCGCCCGGGCUGCCACUUCCUUUUGGAGAUUCCAAGUUCUUUGUGAACUUCCAGUGUCUUCCUGAGUUAUAGGCUAGUCCGUAUUUCUAUUUCAUUGUAAGUCAAUUUGCUUGAAUUCAGUUUUCUAAGAAAAUUGCCUUUUUAAAUACGUAUUAGUGUAGAGCUUUUUUUUUUUUUUUUUUUGCAUUUUAAUAUCCUUGUCAAUGGUUUUUGGGGGUGGAAGGAAAAAAAAUAGUUUUCACUUUUUAUUCCUAGUUUAUCUUUGACAGACUUUCGAGAAAUCUAUUUUACUGUUUUUUUUCAAAGAAGCAGCUUUAGAUAGAAUACCCAGUUCUGCUUUCGUGUUGUAAUUUAUUAAUUUCUGCUUUUACGUCAUUAAUUCCUGUGCUCUCCUUGGAUGUUGUUUGUCCCUCUUUUUCCAGUCUUGCCUUACAUGCUUAGUGCGGAAGGCGGGGGAGGCAGAGCGCGGUCAGGGAGGCUGUGGCAGGAGGCGCUCCUGCUCUAGCCCCACCGUGACCAUGGACAGAGCCCUCCAAAGCCGACGCGUGGACCCUCCGUAAGGGAGGCAACUGCUGCCCCCUCCCCGCCCCCGCCACCCCCGCCGCCAGAGGAUGCGUGGAGGCCAGUUAGUGGCCAGGGCCCAGCGGGAGCACGGGGGGCGUUCUGCAGGGGGGAACGGCCAACUGCUGUUGCUCCGGCCCACAGUUCGGUUUCUAACGAUCACUCCAACCAACAGCCUCCUCGGUGUCCAGAUACUCAGCUGGUCUCCACAGACACAGGCAGGUGAGAUGAAUGGCCCUGCCUUCCCGUGGUGCCCCUGUUCUCCCGGGGGACCGGUCUCCGAUGGUGACUAGAUAGAUGGUGAGUUAACACAGUGCGGCAACAGCCACCGGGGAUGGAGUGCAGCCUGAGGGUGAAGACAGAGCCUUAACCCAGGGGAGACCUUUGAGCUGUCACUUGACAGGUAGGUGAGGCUGUAAGGAAGAGCAUUCCCGGCUGAGAAAAGGGUGCGAGAAAAGCCUCUGAGCUGUGAAGGAAACUGGCUGGAGCUAGGAGUGCAGGUGGGGCUGGCCGGGCCACGGUGGGGACUCAGGAGGUGCCCCAUGGUGCACCUGAAGGCUCCCCGUCUGUAUUUGGGAAAAGAGUUUAUUGUCCUCAUUUCCUAUUUGCUUUUUGGUUUCAGUUCUGAUGUAUCAUUUGAACAUAGUUAUUUAAAGAGUACGCUUUAAAUUUUCCGAGGUUUUGGAAGGGUUGUGUUUUGUUUUUUUUUUAACUAUUAUAAUCAAUUUCUAUUUUAAUGAAUGGUUACCUGAGGAAGUGCCCAGUACAAUUUCUACCUUUUGGAUCUGUGGCUCGCUUUCUUCACUGCUUAAGGUAUGAUUAUUUUUAUCAAUGCUCCAUGGCGUUUGAGAAAGUAUUCUUUGUCACAUUCCAUACGUUGGGUCCGUCCCUCUCGACGGUUUGGGGUCCAGUCCAAAGCCGCGACGUCCCUAUGUAAUGCGAAGUGUGAUUCCAUUUUCCCCACCACUCGUGGUUCUCUCCACCGCCCCCAAGACUGCUCACCAGUUUUGUUCUGUGUGUUUCGCUGCAGUGUAUUUGGUGCGUGGAGUCCGGCCCUGCCGCGUGGAGUGCCGGGUGCCGACCGGGCAGACGGGAGCCCACCCCCUCCCCGCCCCCACCUCACUGUCUCCUCCUUUGCGGGUUGAAUGAAGUACCUGUGUGUUGGAAUUUUCAACUGUUGAACCUUGAAACCAUUUUUCCAUCUCUCGUCUGUUUCCUGCCCGUGUCGUGCCUUCGUGGUACAUAUAGUUGUGAUCGGGAGCCAUUUUGCUUCUUCCACUUCAGGUUGUAGACACAGUGUCUGCACUGUCACUUGUAGACACAGUGACUCGUGUUGAAAUAAUCCACCUGUUCUGGCUGAGGCUCUCUGGGGGGUUCCAGGCUGUGAGCCUGCCACUGUCACCUCGUGGGCUUCUGCGUGGGCUGGUUCCAGCAUUUUGUAAUCCUGAAUUACACGGGCACAGGCGUCUUUGGGCAAAUCCCCUUUUAUACCUCCAGGCUGCUCUUGGUUGUCCCCCUGGCCGGAGGCAAGGGGCUUCUUCUCUCCGCUCACUGCCCUGGGUGCAGAUGUUUGGAAAGGGCCGGUUAUACACUCCUGUUUUGCCCACUGCCUUGCCAACACAAUUUUUCCUGUUUUUGACUGUGAGUGUGGAGUGCUUCCUUGAAGCCAUUUUAUUUUAUUUAUUUAUUUUUUUUUUCCCUUGAAGCCAUUUUAAUUUUCACUGGGGACACGUUUCCCUAUGUAGGUCACUCUCUGAGUUUCCUUAAGCAGACACCUUGAGGGUCUUGUCACUAACAUGUUGAAUUAAUUCUUUGCUCAUCUUACAGACUGUGUUUUGACUCCCCCCCCCCCCCCAUUUCUAAGGCCUUUUAAGGUCAGAGCUUUGUUCCUCCGUCAGGUUGGGACUUAGAUGGCUAUGCACGGUUCCUCUGUCCUGCUGCAGUAAGUAAGUGCCUGUGGUGUGUUUGGGGGAUGAAGCCUGGAGAGAGGCCAGGAGGGGCGAUGGGCAAGCGAGGAGGUAGGGGAGAGGUGAGGGAGAUGGGUGAGGGGGAUGGAAACCUGGCUCUGAGCUCACCCAGUGGUCCCCAGACCUUGGUGUGUGUGUGUGUGUGUGUGUGUGUGUGUGUGUGAGAGAGAGAGAGAGAGAGAGAGAGACGAGACUGGCUGUGCUUGCAGAGCAUCCAUCAGGACUAGUAGAGAGGACCCGUUGUCAGCCUGGCCUGGUGUGACCCUGAACAGGUCUCAGUCCUCUCCGAGCCUCACCUUCUCCUCUGGACUCCGCUGGAGAAGGGCUACUGGGCUCCUCAGGGCUGGCUGGAGGGGUCCAGGAGUCCUCCCCUCGUGAGAGGCCAGGACAGGACUCCUGGAUGAGGACUGCAGAGCUUGGGGGUGCUCCCACUGGACCCGCCGUGGGCCCACAGGAGGCAGAGCCCAGCCUGGGAGCAGCAGGUGCUUGGGGCCCAGAUGGGGAGGGUGGCCCAGGGCAGGUAAACUGGCCCAGGGUCCAGGGUAGGCUUCCUGUUCCUCCUGUCUCUGGGGCCCUGGUGACUCAGACCGUCCUCUCGGGGAACUCAGACACGGGGCCAGAGGCUGGUGGGGACACUGUGCUUCUGACUCCGUUUUCAAGCAGUGGCAGCUUCGCAGGAAGGACCCCACAGCCGGCACUGGUGGAGAGAGCGAGGACGGAAGGCCAGGCAGCCCUACUGCAGAGAGGUGGCCUCUCCCAUUUCUUAGGAUCUUUUUGGAAAUUUCCAUCUACAUACGAAGACAUUGCCCUACAGUGAGCAGGACCAUAACUUGUGGUUCAGUUUUCCGUCAGACUUUGUGAGCUCCUGCAGUUAGGAUGUGCAUCCAGCACAACAGGAAACAUGUGGCCACGCGGCCAAGGGGACACGCGUCCCCCUGGCUGUACCUUUGACAGGGCUGUCAGGGCAGCGAGGGGGAGCCUGGGAGGGAGGGGGGCCCGGAGCCGCCGCAGGUGUUUCUUUUACUGGACGCGGCCCAUGGCCGCGUUCAGGUUUUGCUUUUCACCUUUGAGUCUGUGAGAAAACAAGCAGGAAAAAGCAAAA